rnacentral:rRNA from 1 species
GACAGAGGUGCCGAGCGUUAGGCGGAAUCACUGGGCUUAAAGCGUGUGUAGGCGGGCGGGCAAGUACCUUGUGAAAUCCCACGGCUCAACCGUGGAACGGCUGGGUAUACUGCCUGUCUUGAGCCAACUAGGGGCGAGCGGAACAGACGGUGGAGCGGUGAAAUGCGUAGAUAUCGGGAGGAACACCAGUGGCGAAGGCGAUCAUCUGGGGUUGUUCUGACACUGAGGAGCGAAAGCUAGGGGAGCAAACGGG